AGUUGUGUGUGCAUGUAUAUGU
rnacentral:miRNA from 1 species